GACUCUCGGCAACGGAUAUCUCGGCUCUCGCAUCGAUGAAGAACGUAGCGAAAUGCGAUACCUGGUGUGAAUUGCAGAAUCCCGUGAACCAUCGAGUCUUUGAACGCAAGUUGCGCCCGAGGCCACUCGGCCGAGGGCACGCCUGUCUGGGCAUCA
rnacentral:rRNA from 1 species